AGCUUUCGGAGCUCGGCGUACCGCUCAGUAACACGUGGGUAACCUAACCUAUGCAGGGGAAUAACCUCGGGAAACUGAGUAUAAUGCCCCAUAGUCCACUACGCCUGGAACGGUGAGUGGAUCAAAGCUCAGGCGGCAUAGGAUGGGCCUGCGGCGUAUCAGGUUGUAGGGGGUGUAAAGUACCCUCUAGCCCUCUACGCGUACGGGUGUUGGGAGACAUAGCCCGGAGAUGGAUUCUGAGACACGAAUCCAGACCCUACGGGGUGCAGCAGGCGCGAAAACUUGACAAUGCGAGCAAUCGUGAUCAGGGAACUCCAAGUGGCUGGGGUAAGACCCAGUCUUUUCAUAACUCUUCAAAGGUUGUAGAAUAAGGGGUGGGUAAGGACGGUGCCAGCCGCCGCGGUAAUACCGGCGCCUCAAGUGGUAGUCGCUUUUAUUGGGCCUAAAACGUCCGUAGCCGGUUUGAUACAUUCGUGGGUAAAUCAACCAGCUCAACUGGUUGAAUUCUGCGAGGACGGUCAGACUUGGGACCGGGAGAAGUGUGGGGUACGCUCAGGGUAGGGGUAAAAUCCUGUCAUCCUGAGCGGACCACCUGUUGCGAAGGCGCCACACUAGAACGGAUCCGACGGUCAGGGACGAAGCCUAGGGGCACGAACCGGAUUAGAUACCCGGGUAGUCCUAGGUGUAAACGCUGUGGACUUGACGUUGGAGAAGCUCCGAGCUUCUUCAGUGUCGAAGCGAAGGUGAUAAGUCCACUGCCUGGGAAGUACGGUCGCAAGG
rnacentral:rRNA from 1 species